AUAGUUAUACCUACUUUCCUUCUCUGAAAGGGCUCAGUUUGUAACAAAAGUGCAUGCACUUUAAAAGUGCACUGAAGGUGUUAGCUCGGUGAUCCUUACUACAUCUCUACAUGGUAGCAAUUUCUCUCUGUUUACUCAUUUUGCACAGUAAGAGAGAGAUUUAAUUUUUGUCAUCUCAUGGCCUCGCACAGGAUGAGGUUACAGAUCCUGGAUCGCUUUAAAAUGGAAAAGCCUCAAGCAGCGUUCAGCAACGUUCUCUCUCUUUUAUUAUUUACUGGAAUGGUCACUGUGAGAUCACUGCCUUUGAAGAAGAGUUAGGACCAAAUAUUUAUCUGUGGUUGAAAAAAUGACAUAUUUCUUCUUGUUUGCUAUCUGACCAUGUUGUUUGUACAAGCACCCUCAGAGGUGUGCAGAAGUAUACAUACAGCUGCAAGGAUAUCACUGAAAGGUGAGAAGGCUUAAGAGGUGAGCCAUCUUACACGUUUGAUUGAGGCACCUUCUGUCUGGCUUUGGAAUCCUCAAAUAAGGAUAUUGAGGUCUUGUGAGCUGCUGUUAGAAAAUAUAACACCAGUUAUUUGGUGGAUAGGUCAAAGGUUUGUAAUUAGUACUGGGACUACAUCCAUCCUUGCACUGUAUAUUCACACAGGCUCAUCACAAUCAUGGGCCUAAAAUAGGAACAUCUUACACAGUAGAGGAAUGUUACCAAGGUGUGAAGGCUCUUGCUUUUUCAGGAGAAUAACUGGGUCAAAUUAUAUAAGGAGGAUAGAUUUUUAAAAAAAGCCAUUUUUCUUGUAAAAUGCAUUCCUAUUGAAUUCAUAAAAUUCUUACAAAAUGAUGGAUUUUGAUAUAUUUUUGAAUGGGAAUACAUAGAUAACUCCUUCAGAUUUCAUUCUCUUUUUAUACUACUAAAACAUCUUUUAAAAAAGUAUAUCAGUACUGUGCAGUACUUAGUUUUAACUGCACAAUUUAGAUACUAUUCCUUUAACCUUCUUAUAUGCUUAAAUCUUUAAUUAUAUAGAUAAUAUAUUGCGUUAAAUUGUAUGUAAUAUUUUCUCCUAAGUUGUUUAAACAAAGUUGUGAAUUGAUAUGAUUGAAUGGUUCUAAUUUUUCCUACAAAUAUUUUUGAAAUAUUAACAUUUAGUUCCAAUGGUGAAUUACAAAAAUGGCACUCUUGAAAUUUCCUAUGAAAUGGAAAUUAUGUCUUCUAACUUGCUGUAUAAAUAAACCGUAGUUGUAUGUAUUAAGUGUCUACCGGAAACAUAUGAGAGAAGGAACUGAAUGAAUUAAUAUAAAACCAUUUCAAUAAAGACCUUAAACCAACAUUAAGAAAGCUGAAAUCCACACCAAAUUUAAGUAGUUUUCCACAUGAGAAAUUUCAGUGUGGGUAGUAUUUAUGCUUAAGGUAUAUUUGCCUCAGUAUUUGUACCAUCUUGUUUUGUCACUAAAAAAACUCAGACAUAAGAAGCUGUACUCCACAGUCCAAUCUGUGAAUAACAAGUAAUAACCCAGCCUUGAAAAGAACUGGGAAUCUCCACUAUCAGCUUGGAUUCAUUGAAAUGAGCAGAAGCAGCAAGAACCUCUCAGAUACUGUGAUGCAGAUUAAGUGGGGGAGUUUGAAGUCGAGAGAAGAAUCAGUAACAACACUACAGGUAGACCCUUAAUUUUUCAAGCUGAGUCAGAAAGGCAUUGCUGAAAGAAACUCCUAGGGCUGGAUCCACACUCAACACAUAUUUUUAGCACAUCAGUAAAAUCUUGUGUUGGUUCAGACAUUAUUUCUGCAUUAAAAACUGUGUUUACAUAUUCUGUGUUUACAUAUUUUGAACAGUAUCGCUUUAACAAACCAAUUAUUUUAAUUCAUGUAAUAAUUCACAUUUGAUCUGAAAGAGGCCCACCAAGUGUGUGUGUACAUAUGUAUGUUUGUGUGUAUUUCUUCAACAAUGCAGAUUAGCCCUUGCUGUUUAAUAAAUAUAUCAGUCAAGUCCACUGGUACAUGUGGAGAUAAGGCCUAUCUGUGCAUUUGGCAUGAUGAUCUUGACCCCAGGGAUUUAUUUUUUUCCAAGUUUCCUGAGGGGGUGUCAAUGAAUGUCAAUGGGUACCAUUUUUUCUGCAUUUUUUCUUCCAUUCAGUGACACAUCUUUGCUUCAUACACACUUCCAGGUCAGUCAUAAUUUUGUCAGACCGUCUCUCUGCUGCCAUCUGUCACCUGGCAACAAGAUGUAAUUGGAUAUUGGUUGGGAAGAUUCAACCCCUACUGUCAUACAAUCAACAUCUGCCUCUGACAUCAUGGGCCAACAUAAUA
rnacentral:lncRNA from 7 species